GUAUAUAAAACAGUUAUUGGAUCAGUAGGAAAACCAUGAAAAAAUCAAUUGAUAAAUUAACAAGAUGUUUUGAGAAAUGUUGCCUAGCUGUCACUAAAAUAUCCUUUCCUCUAGUGUAUUAAAGGAAAGUUAAAAAUUCUAGGUUUUACAUAUUUAGGACAGUAAAAUGGCAAACUGACUAUAGAGAAACAUUUUUAUACUUAGAAAAACUCAUGCUAAAGUUUGUGUUAAAAUACAUUAUAUAAUGUCAUUUUCAGUUUUUUAUUUGUAAUAUUUUCCAAAUAUAUUUUAUAGUGUUUUAAUCAAAAUCAUCAGUAAGCCUUUCCUGCUAUAGCUGUAAUCCUACAUAUAAGAUUAGCUCCUGGUCUGCCUGCCUUCUUCCUUCCUCCCUCCCUCCCUUUUUUGUUUCUUCUUUCACCUUCUAUUUGUCUUUUGACUCCAUCUUAUUAUAAAAGCAGAGUAUGUAAAUGAUAACUUUUGAUAAAUUUAUCAUUUGGAUGAUAAAAAUUCUUAAGUUUAACCUGAACUAACUACUUGCUAAAUAAAUGUGAUUUGUCUGUCAUUUCUUGCUCAAACUCUCAGAUAUUUUUGUCUAAAAAAAAAAAGGAAAAAAAA
rnacentral:lncRNA from 1 species